rnacentral:rRNA from 1 species
GACGAACGCUGGCGGCGUGCUUAACACAUGCAAGUCGAACGGAAAGGCCCCCAUCUUGGUGGGGGUGCUCGAGUGGCGAACGGGUGAGUAACACGUGGGUGAUCUGCCCUGUACUUCGGGAUAAGCUUGGGAAACUGGGUCUAAUACCGGAUAGGACCAUGGUUUAGUGUCUCAUGGUGGAAAGAUUAUUGUUUUGGUGCAGGAUGAGCUCGCGGCCUAUCAGCUUGUUGGUGGGGUAAUGGCCUACCAAGGCGUCGACGGGUAGCCGGCCUGAGAGGGUGGACGGCCACAUUGGGACUGAGAUACGGCCCAGACUCCUACGGGAGGCAGCAGUGGGGAAUAUUGCACAAUGGGAGCAAGCCUGAUGCAGCGACGCCGCGUGGGGGAUGACGGCCUUCGGGUUGUAAACUCCUUUCGUUAGGGACGAAGCCGCACUUUUUUUGGGUGUGGUGACGGUACCUUUGUUAAGAAGCACCGGCUAACUACGUG